rnacentral:rRNA from 1 species
GUCCAGACUCCUACGGGAGGCAGCAGUGGGGGAUAUUGCACAAUGGGGGAAACCCUGAUGCAGCGACGCCGCGUGGGUGAAGAAGCGCCUCGGCGCGUAAAGCCCUGUCAGCAGGGAAGAAAAUGACGGUACCCGAAGAAGAAGCCCCGGCUAACUACGUGCCAGCAGCCGCGGUAAUACGUAGGGGGCAAGCGUUAUCCGGAUUUACUGGGUGUAAAGGGGGCGCAGACGGCGAUGCAAGCCAGGAGUGAAAGCCCGGGGCCCAACCCCGGGACUGCUCUUGGAACUGCGUGGCUGGAGUGCAGGAGGGGCAGGCGGAAUUCCUGGUGUAGCGGUGAAAUGCGUAGAUAUCAGGAGGAACACCGGUGGCGAAGGCGGCCUGCUGGACUGCAACUGACGUUGAGGCCCGAAAGCGUGGGGAGCAAACAGGAUUAGAUACCCUAGUAGA